rnacentral:lncRNA from 1 species
AUGCCCUAUUAUUCACUUCACACAGUAAUAGAUGCCCACAUAUUUGGGCAACACAUCACUAAUGCAGAUAGAAUAGUCUGUUUGGUUGACCUCUGUAUUUUCUACUUCAUUUACUCAGGGGCAGCAACUUCCAUUGAAAUUGUAGACAAGUUGUCAUUCUGGAUACUCUCCCUAAACCACAAGACAGGUCCUACUGGGGAACGAGCAGAUACGUGGCAGCCCAGGGUUAAGGUCUCUCCACUUCUGACUGAAACUGGAUUCUCAGGAGGUUGGAGGCCACCAAGGCCACUUCUGUUCCGGACACAUUUCCAUUCUCCAAACAGGUCAGCUGUAGGCGCUGAGGGUGGAACUUCUUCACUUGGCAAGUGACAUUCACCUGGUCCCCUGCUGUGGGGUGCCUUGGAGUACCACUCCAAGGUGGGUGGAACUGAAACAGCACAGAGCAGAAGCUCUGACCUUAUGGAACAGACAGAUCAU